UCGUCUAUAUACGUAUAGCAUAUCAAUAAGCGGAGGAAAAGAAACUAACUAGGAUUCCCUCAGUAACGGCGAGUGAAGCGGGAAGAGCUCAAAUUUGAAAUCUUCAAGGUUUCUACCUUGACGAAUUGUAGUUUAAAGAAGUGUUUUCUGUUGGAGUUUUGGUAAAAGUUCUUUGGAAUAGGACAUCAUAGAGGGUGAGAAUCCCGUAUUUGACCAUUAUUUCCAGCUUUGUGAUACACUUUCAAAGAGUCGGAUUGUUUGGGAAUGCAGUCCAAAAUGGGUGGUAAAUUUCAUCUAAAGCUAAAUAUUGGCGAGAGACCGAUAGCGAACAAGUACCGUGAGGGAAAGAUGAAAAGAACUUUGAAAAGAGAGUUAAACAGUACGUGAAAUUGUCAAAAGGGAAGCGUUUGACACCAGUGUUGUUUUCUCGAAAAUCAAUUAAAAAAGGCUGGAUUUUGUGUUGUAUUGACUUUAUCAGCUUUCUGCACUCUUUUCUUGUCUUUUUUAAUGCACUUUUCGUUUAACAAGUCAACAUCAAUUUCUUUUGUUGUAAAAGGGUCAUUGGAAGGUGGCUUUCUUUUCGGAGAAAGUGUUUAUAGCCUUUGGCCUCUGCAAUCGGAGAGAUUGAGGUCUGCAGCGUAGAUCCUUCGGGGUUAGAUACAUUUGUGCUAAGUUAUAGCCUUUCAUAGACAACUUGUUGACUAUGAUCAGUCAUGUAGCUUACUCGCUUAUGCUAUUUUACCUACGCUUAGGAUGUUGAUGUGAUACUGCGAGCA
rnacentral:rRNA from 1 species